UAUAUACUUUCUCCGUCUAAUAAAAAAUGUCUCAACCUUGACUAAAUUUGAAUGCAUCUAUACACUAAGUUAUGUCUAGAUACAUCCAAAUUUUGACAAACUUGAGACAUUUUUUGUUGGACGGAGGGAGUACGUA
rfam:Brachypodium distachyon strain Bd21 chromosome 3, whole genome shotgun sequence.